rnacentral:rRNA from 1 species
UGGCGGUGACCUACUCUCACAUGGGGAUACCCCACACUACCAUCGGCAUUACGGCAUUUCACUUCUGAGUUCGGUAUGGGUUCAGGUGG